UAUUAGUUUGAUCCUGGCUAAUAUUUUAUAAUCUGUCAAAAAAAUGUAUGUAAUACCUGGAAAUGUUACUCCUUAAAUUUUAAAAAUAACUAGAUUAGUGUAAUCUAUUCACUCACAACAUUUCAUUUUAAGCCAUAAUUGUAAGAUUGACUUAAUUUACAGAAUAAGCCUGACUAAUCCUUGUGCCAGCAGUCGCGGUUACACUUGAAGGCUAAGUAAAAUAUGAUCGGCUUAUAGUGAGAUUCUUAUUUAAAUUUUACCUAACAAAUUAUAAUGAAUUAAGGUGGAAUUUUAUCAUUUAUUACUAAGUUAGGAACAUUUAAGAAAAAUCAAGUCUAUGAAAUUCGUUGUAGAAACUGGGAUUAGAUACCCCAUUAUUGAUGAACUUUACAUUAUAGCCCAAAGAUUACGAGCUAUGUCCUUCAAAUUUAAAGGAUUUGGCGGUAAUUUAAUCUAACUAGAGGAGCUUGUUUUUAAAACGAUAAACCCCGAAAUAUCUUACCUAAUUUGAAAAUUUGUAUACCGUCAUUAUCAGGUAACUUCGAGAGGAAAAGUUACUAUAAUAAACACCGUUUAAAAUAUUAGAUCAAGGUGCAGUUUAUAGUUAGGAUAAAAUGAGCUACAAUAAAUUUUAUUUAUCACGGAGAUACAUUUGAAAAAUGUAUUGAAGGAGGAUUUAGUUGUAAACAUAAUUUAAUAUGUUAUGUUGAUAUAAGAUCUAAAUUAUGUACACAUCGCCCGUCGCUUUCAUUUUUAGAUGAAAUAAGUCGUAACAAAGUAGGUGUACCGGAAGGUGUACCUAGACAGCU
rnacentral:ncRNA from 1 species